rnacentral:rRNA from 1 species
UACGUAGGGUGCAAGCGUUGUCCGGAAUUAUUGGGCGUAAAGAGCUCGUAGGCGGUUUGUCGCGUCUGCUGUGAAAACUCGGGGCUUAACUCCGGGCCUGCAGUGGGUACGGGCAGACUAGAGUGCGGUAGGGGAGACUGGAAUUCCUGGUGUAGCGGUGAAAUGCGCAGAUAUCAGGAGGAACACCGGUGGCGAAGGCGGUCAACUGGCCCUGAACUGACGCUCAGGCACGAAAGCGUGGGGAUCAAACAGG